rnacentral:rRNA from 1 species
UAAGAAGGGGACUAGCGUUGUUCGGAAUCACUGGGCGUAAAGCGCACGUAGGCGGAUUUGUCAGUCAGGGGUGAAAUCCCGGGGCUCAACCUCGGAACUGCCUUUGAUACAGCACGUCUCGAGUCCGGAAGAGGUGGGUGGAAUUCCUAGUGUAGAGGUGAAAUUCGUAGAUAUUAGGAAGAACACCGGUGGCGAAGGCGGCCCACUGGAUCGGUACUGACGCUGAGGUGCGAAAGCGUGGGGAGCAAACAGG